UACAGAGACUGCAAGCGUUAUUCGGAUUCACUGGGCGUAAAGGGUGCGCAGGCGGCCAAGUGUGUUAGGCGUGAAAGCCCGGGGCUUAACCUCGGAAUUGCACCUAAAACUACAUGGCUAGAGCAUUGGAGAGGGUAGCGGAAUUCACGGUGUAGCAGUGAAAUGCGUAGAUAUCGUGAGGAACACCAGAGGCGAAGGCGGCUACCUGGACAAUUGCUGACGCUCAGGCACGAAAGCGUGGGGAGCAAACAGG
rnacentral:rRNA from 1 species